GAUGAACGCUAGCUACAGGCUUAACACAUGCAAGUCGAAGGCCCGAAGAUCGGGUGAGUAACACGUAUCUAACAUGCCCUUUACUCGCGUAUCGCCUUUCGAAAGAACGAUUAAUACCCGAUGUAAAGGAUGGGGAUGCGUUACAUUAGGUUGUUGGUGAGGUAACGGCUCACCAAGGCUUCGAUGGUUAGGGGUUCUGAGAGGCAGGUCGCCCACAGUGGAACUGAGACACGGUCCAAACUCCUACGGGAGGCAGCAGUGAGGAAUAUUGGGCAAUGGGCGUUAGCCUGAACCAGCCAAGUAGCGUGAAGGAUGAAGGCUUAUGGGUCGUAAACUUCUUUGAUAUAAGAAUAUGUAUUAGAUGAAUAAGGAUCGGCUAACUCCGUGCCAGCAGCCGCGGUAAUAC
rnacentral:rRNA from 1 species